rnacentral:rRNA from 1 species
GCAGCAGUGGGGAAUAUUGUACAAUGGGCGCAAGCGUGAUGCAGCCAUGCCGCGUGUAUGAAGAAGGCCUUCGGGUUGUAAAGUACUUUCAGCAGUGAGGAAGGUGGUGUCGUUAAUAGCGGCAUCAUUUGACGUUAGCUGCAGAAGAAGCACCGGCUAACUCCGUGCCAGCAGCCGCGGUAAUACGGAGGGUGCGAGCGUUAAUCGGAAUUACUGGGCGUAAAGCGCAUGCAGGUGGUUUGUUAAGUCAGAUGUGAAAGCCCGGGGCUCAACCUCGGAAUUGCAUUUGAAACUGGCAGACUAGAGUACUGUAGAGGGGGGUAGAAUUUCAGGUGUAGCGGUGAAAUGCGUAGAGAUCUGAAGGAAUACCGGUGGCGAAGGCGGCCCCCUGGACAGAUACUGACACUCAGAUGCGAAAGCGUGGGGAGCAAACAGGAUUAGAUACCCUGGUAGUCCACGCCGUAAACGAUGUCUACUUGGAGGUUGUGGCCUUGAGCCGUGGCUUUCGGAGCUAACGCGUUAAGUAGACCGCCUGGGGAGUACGGUCGCAAGAUUAAAACUCAAAUGAAUUGACGGGGGCCCGCACAAGCGGUGGAGCAUGUGGUUUAAUUCGAUGCAACGCGAAGAACCUUACCUACUCUUGACAUCCUCAGAAGAGACUGGAGACAGUCUUGUGCCUU